GACGAACGCUGGCGGCGUGCUUAACACAUGCAAGUCGAACGGAAAGGCCCUGCUUUUGUGGGGUGCUCGAGUGGCGAACGGGUGAGUAACACGUGAGUAACCUGCCCUUGACUUUGGGAUAACUUCAGGAAACUGGGGCUAAUACCGGAUAGGAGCUCCUGCUGCAUGGUGGGGGUUGGAAAGUUUCGGCGGUUGGGGAUGGACUCGCGGCUUAUCAGCUUGUUGGUGGGGUAGUGGCUUACCAAGGCUUUGACGGGUAGCCGGCCUGAGAGGGUGACCGGCCACAUUGGGACUGAGAUACGGCCCAGACUCCUACGGGAGGCAGCAGUGGGGAAUAUUGCACAAUGGGCGGAAGCCUGAUGCAGCAACGCCGCGUGCGGGAUGAAGGCCUUCGGGUUGUAAACCGCUUUCGCCUGUGAUGAAGCGUGAGUGACGGUAAUGGGUAAAGAAGCACCGGCUAACUACGUG
rnacentral:rRNA from 1 species